rnacentral:lncRNA from 1 species
CACCGACCUAAAGUUUCAUAUCUAAACCUCACUUAUAGGCAUAUAUGUUUGAUUGAAUACACCAAGGGAGAUCCUAGAUUUUUGGAUUUUGGGUUUAUCGGAUUUCAUAAAAUUUUUGAAAUCUAGUCUUCCAUUUCGUGACCCGAAAGCCAACAGCGGUAUCAGAGCCUCUUUUGGUUGAUUCAAUCAUAUGUGAUAUUUAUUGUUGAUCAAAUUUUGUUAUUCAUCAUUCUGUAAG